UUUUUAAAUGGAGUCAAGAAGCAGGUUUGCAUAAAUUGGAUGUGUUUGAAAAAUGCUUGAAGCUAAGUUUAAGGUCUGAGUGAUGAGUUAAGAUAUGCGUAAUAAAGAAUCAUUGUAUUGUUGGGACUUCAUUGAUGUGAGAUUCCAAACAUAGCUGUUACCUCUACCAAUCUGAUUCACGAGU